rnacentral:rRNA from 1 species
AGAGUUUGAUCCUGGCUCAGGAUGAACGCUAGCUACAGGCUUAACACAUGCAAGUCGAGGGGAAACGACAUCGAAAGCUUGCUUUUGAUGGGCGUCGACCGGCGCACGGGUGAGUAACGCGUAUCCAACCUGCCCACCACUUGGGGAUAACCUUGCGAAAGUAAGACUAAUACCCAAUGACGUCUCUAGAAGACAUCUGAAGGAGAUUAAAGAUUUAUCGGUGAUGGAUGGGGAUGCGUCUGAUUAGCUUGUUGGCGGGGUAACGGCCACCAAGGCGACGAUCAGUAGGGGUUCUGGAGAGGAAGGUCCCCCANAUUGGAACUGAGACACGGUCAAACUCCUAGGGAGCA